UUGGAUUUAAAAAAAAAUAAAGCAAACCUAAAGGCAUAUUCCAGUUCAUGUGCUUACUUUCCAACAUAACUUAAAAGAACCAGGAAGCGUAAGAUUCAUGGAUUCCAUUAAAAAAGUUACGAGAAGGUCAAUAUUCAGCUGGUUAUAUAAAUUUUGAUAAAAAGAGUUGAUGUUCACUGGAUGGAGUUUCAAUAUGAACGACUCCAUUAUUUUACAGGUGGUUGAUUCUAAUUCUAUCGAAGUAAUUGCUUGAUUGGUUUCUUGAAACCAGGUAGAUGAGUGAGAGAUUAUAUAUAUGGAGAAAGAGCUCAAAUACUGUUGUCAAAGACAAAAGUCAAAGAAAAAGAGCUCUUAUCAUUUGUAUUUUCAUGUUUUUAAUUUCUUUAAGACUUAAUCUCUAAAAAGUACAACAAAAUCUUUCAACUAACCAGGAAGAUGAAGAAGUUAUUUAAAUUGCUUGGAGAGAAUAAAAAGAUA